rnacentral:rRNA from 1 species
GACGAACGCUGGCGGCGUGCUUAACACAUGCAAGUCGAACGGAGCGAAUGAAAGCUUGCUUUUAUAAGCUUAGUGGCAAACGGGUGAGUAACACGUAGGCAACCUGCCGACAGGAUGGGGACAACAUUCCGAAAGGAGUGCUAAUACCGAAUGAAGCGCAGGAGAGGCAUCUCUCCUGCGUGAAAGAUGGCCUCUAUAUAUAAGCUAUCACCUGUCGAUGGGCCUGCGUCUGAUUAGCUGGUAGGUGAGGUAACGGCUCACCUAGGCGACGAUCAGUAGCCGGUCUGAGAGGAUGAACGGCCACAUUGGGACUGAGACACGGCCCAGACUCCUACGGGAGGCAGCAGUGGGGAAUCUUCCGCAAUGGGCGCAAGCCUGACGGAGCAACGCCGCGUGAGUGAAGAAGGUCUUCGGAUCGUAAAGCUCUGUUGAUGGGGACGAACGUGCCUAAUGCGAAUAGU